CACUUCGCGACUAGUGUUUUGUUACAUCGGUUGACUUUUCUUUGAAAAAUCAAUAUACAUUUUCCCAGAGUUUAGAUAUACGGACGAGUCGAUGUCCAGCGCAGGUUAGGGAUUGUUACUUUUUCGGAGGCACUUACUUCCCUUCAUUAGAAUGGGUCGGCGAGCACGGUCUCAGCCAGGAAGGAUUAACUUGAACUGACUUGUGAAGCCCAUUACGUAAUGCUUAACUUCAAUGAUUAAUCAAUGGUUUACUGAGGCAGCCGAUGUCUUCGGUCGUGUGAGGAAGCCGAAUUGCAAGAAGAAAAUGCGAUCCAGGGUUAAGUUGGAGGAGUUGAAUCUCACUUUAAACAUAAAAAGUGAAGAGAUCACACCUCCACUUAAUCUGUCACGCUUUUGUAUCACGCCGUACUGCUCCAACUGAAGUUUUCCCCGCGACCGCCGAAGCGUUGUGACGCGACUCCACGCGUGAGCUGGAAAGAUAGAUCUGGCAGCGAACCAUGAAACUGUCAAGAUCCCCUGUCCAACUCAGACAUGAAGCCAUUCUGCAGCCGAGACGAAUAUCGAACGCUGUAAAAUUAAUAAAACGUUAA